CACGUAGGGCGCAAGCGUUGUCCGGAAUUAUUGGGCGUAAAGCGCGUGUAGGCGGCCAGGUAGGUCCGCUGUGAAAACCCGAGGCUCAACCUCGGGACGUCGGCGGAAACCAUCUGGCUAGAGUCCGGAAGAGGAGAGUGGAAUUCCCGGUGUAGCGGUGAAAUGCGCAGAUAUCGGGAAGAACACCCGUGGCGAAGGCGGCUCUCUGGGACGGUA
rnacentral:rRNA from 1 species